rnacentral:rRNA from 1 species
GACGAACGCUGGCGGCGUGCCUAAUACAUGCAAGUCGAACGAAGCUGUUUUAACUGGUGCUUGCACCGACUUAAACAACUGAGUGGCGAACGGGUGAGUAACACGUGGGUAACCUGCCCCAAAGCGGGGGAUAACAUUUGGAAACAGAUGCUAAUACCGCAUAAAAGUCAAAACCACAUGGUUUUGAUUUAAAAGAUGGCCUUUGUGCUAUCACUUCUGGAUGGACCCGCGGCGUAUUAGCUAGUUGGUAAGGUAACGGCUUACCAAGGCAAUGAUACGUAGCCGAACUGAGAGGUUGAUCGGCCACAAUGGGACUGAGACACGGCCCAUGCUCCUACGGGAGGCAGCAGUAGGGAAUCUUCCACAAUGGGCGCAAGCCUGAUGGAGCAACACCGCGUGAGUGAAGAAGGGUUUCGGCUCGUAAAACUCUGUUGUUAAAGAAGAACGUAUCUAAGAGUAACUGCUUAGGUAGUGACGGUAUUUAACCAGAAAGCCACGGCUAACUACGUGCCAGCAGCCGCAGUAA